AUUACCGCGGCUGCUGGCACGUAGUUAGCCGGGGCUUCUUAGUCAGGUACCGUCAUUAUCGUCCCUGCUGAUAGAGCUUUACAUACCGAAAUACUUCUUCACUCACGCGGCGUCGCUGCAUCAGGGUUUCCCCCAUUGCGCAAUAUUCCCCACUGCUGCCUCCCGUAGG
rnacentral:rRNA from 1 species